UAUUUUGACUAUACAAAGGUAUUGAAAUAAGACUUUAAUUGAGUGCUAAGAGAAUGGAAUUUCAAAAAAAUUCUUUCUUAAUUUCAAUAAUUAAAUUUAUUUUUAUUUGUGAAGAAACAAUAAUAAAAAUUAAGGACAAGAAGACCCUAAGAAUUUUAAAAAAUUCUAAGUUUAGUUUAAAUAUUAAAAGAUUUUUUUAAUUGGGGCGAUUGAAAAAUAUAAAAAACUUUUUUUAUAAAAAAAUAUGAACCAUUAUUAAUGGUUAAAUGAAAAAAAUACUCUAGGGAUAACAGCGUAAUAAUUUUUGAUAGUUCAUAUAGACAAAAUAGUUUGCGACCUCGAUGUUGGAUUAGGAUACUUUUUUAAUGAAGAAGUUAAAAAAAGAAGUUUGUUCAACUUUUAAAGUCCU
rnacentral:rRNA from 1 species